rnacentral:misc_RNA from 1 species
UUACAGUCCCCAGCAGAUGGUGAGGAACUCCCUUUUGAUCAUGGAGGGGGACCUUGUUGGUGAGGACAUCAAGACCAUAGUAGACCUGCAUGGAAUCAGCGUUGAUGAUUUCAAUGGGGAAGUGGGAUGCUAAAUCAAUGGCCAGUUUGGAUUUGCCUGAACCAGUGGGACCCAUUAUGACCACCACCUUCGGCUUCUCUUCUUCUUCCUUCUCCAUCGUCGCCCUUCUUCCUCCAUCGAUAGGUUUUGGCAAGGCCACAUGAGGAUCACUGCCACUCUCCAUCUGCAAUUGUGCAGAGC